rnacentral:rRNA from 1 species
UACGAAGGGGGGCUAGCGUUGCUCGGAAUCAUUGGGCGUAAAGCGCACGUAGGCGGUCGGCUAUGUCGGAUGUGAAAGCCUCGGGCUUAACCCGAGAAGGGCAUCCGAAACUGGCCGGCUUGAGUACGGAAGAGGGUCUCGGGAAUUCCCGGUGUAGAGGUGAAAUUCGUAGAUAUCGGGAGGAACACCAGUGGCGAAGGCGGGCUCGCUGGGGACGUGACUGACGCUGAGACGCGAAAAGCGUGGGGGAGCAAACAAGG